ensembl:lncRNA
CUGAAAGGGAUCUCAGAGGCCAGACUGUCAACUCCCUUUCACAGAAAAAGAAAACCAGUCCCCAGGAGGGUAGGUCCAAGGUCACAAAGUUAAUGAAUGUUAGAAGCAGGAUUUGAACUCCAUGCUCGUGAAAAGGGGCAUCUGGUCUCAGCUGAACUCCUCACAUACCCUGCCACACCUGAGCUGCCACACUGGCUGCUUCCAAGAAGGCUUCCAGGGCCAAUCCCCGCCAGCCUGGGAGUUUCAGGAAGUCCUACAGCCAAUGGAGGGAAGGCAGGGCCUUCUCCAAUCUCUUCUUCCCAGUCUCUAGCCUUGGGUGUUCCUUCCAGCUCUGAUAGUCCAAGAUUCUUCCACAUGACUGCUAUACAUUAUCUUGCCAGUCAGCCAGUAAGCAUUUAUUAA